GGACGAACGCUGGCGGCGUGCUUAACACAUGCAAGUCGAACGGUGACCCUCGGAGCUUGCUUCGGGGUGAACAGUGGCGAACGGGUGAGUAACACGUGAGUAACCUGCCCCUGACUCUGGAAUAAGCGCUGGAAACGGCGUCUAAUACCGGAUACGACACGCCUCCGCAUGGGGAGCGUGUGGAAAGUUUUUCGGUCUGGGAUGGACUCGCGGCCUAUCAGCUUGUUGGUGAGGUAAUGGCUCACCAAGGCGAUGACGGGUAGCCGGCCUGAGAGGGCGACCGGCCACACUGGGACUGAGACACGGCCCAGACUCCUACGGGAGGCAGCAGUGGGGAAUAUUGCACAAUGGGCGAAAGCCUGAUGCAGCGACGCCGCGUGAGGGAUGACGGCCUUCGGGUUGUAAACCUCUUUCAGCAGGGAAGAAGCGAAAGUGACGGUACCUGCAGAAGAAGCACCGGCUAACUACGU
rnacentral:rRNA from 1 species